AACUGAGCUAUUUCUCCUUCUCUGACUCAGAAGAAAGACAGAAAACUGUGAAAUAGCACGAGGAAACAACUUCUUGCGGAAGCACUUUGAUACCAUAAGGCCAGACCUUACGAUGCCAAACUGCAGUUGCUGAAUUCUGAAACUUAAAUGCAAUGGGACGAAUUGGAUCAUGGGGUGGCAGGAGCCAAGUGGCAGCACUAAAGGAAAGGUGA